UUGAUGUCAAGGUGUCACAGAGUGAGUGGGGCAGUUCCCUCUUCUUCUGCAAUCUGAGUUUGGGUAAGAGUAGAACUCUUUGUUCCUUAAAUGCAUGUGAGAGUCACAGGGGAAGCCAUCUGGGCUGGCAGUUUGCUCUCUGGGAAGUUCGACUCCUGAUCAACUUUCUCUGUCUAAAAUGUCAUGCCUUCCUUUCCAUCCUCCCAGACCAGACCACCUCACAGCUGGGCCACUGUGGCACCCUAGGGGGUACUGCCCUGGGCUCCCUCAGCUAGUCUUCCCAAAGCUCCACCUCGAUCCUAGCACUCUCCUGCCUCAGACCAUCCACCGGUCCCCACCGCCCCCAGGUGAAAUCCAGAUCUACAGCAAGAUGCUCGCGGCCCUCAGCAGUGCCUGGACUGCCUGUCCACCCUUCCCUAAUGCUGUCCCUGGCUGAGCUUGUGACCCAUCAAGUGUCCGUCCAUGAAGAUCCCUACAAAAGUCUGGUCCAUCCCGACCCCUUUGCCACUAAUGUCACCUCUUCCAGGAAGCCUGCCCCUUCCCUUUAGCUGUGGGUUCCCUCUGUCCUGUAGCUCUCUCUUUCCGCACAGUAUCAGAACUGCUUUGGGUAGAAGUUUUCUCUAGUCAAGUGGAUAUUCCAAGAGGGCAGGCAUUGUUUAUGAUAGUUCACUUAUUCUGUCAACAAACUGUACCAGGCAUCAUGUUUGGUGCUGGGAUAUAUCAGUAACUAAGACAGGCAGGUUCCAACCAUAUUGGGACUUUCCAGUGAGGAGGAAAUAAAACAGCUUGCACUGUACAGAUAUGACUAUAAAUAAAACAAAAUUAAAUCUCCCAAAAUCUCACUGGUAACUAUUGGGGCAUUUCUUCCCAACUUUAAAAAUACAUUAGUAACCUACCUGAAUGGGUAUAUACUACCCUGUUUUACAGAUGAGGAAACUGAGGCACAGAGCACUAAAGUCAAAGAUCACAGGAACAACUGAGAUCUGGAUUUUAACCCAGGCAAUCUGGUUCUGAGAUCCCCACCCUACCCUACCCUACUCCACCAGCUCUUUAAAAAACAUAGUUGAAGGUCGAACUAUGUCUCUGUUUGGGAGCCCAAAUUUUUCAUUUCUCUUACAACAUACAUCUUACCUUGGGAACACAGAAAUGUGCAUUCUGGCCCCUACCUUGGUAUCGCACAUCACAGGCUCUACCUACUGCCUUCUCAGGGAGUCCAGGGGCCUGGGUUCUCCUGUCCCUGCCACCAAGUCACUGUGUGACCUCAAGCUAGUCACUUGGCCUCUCUGGGCCUCAGUUUUCACAUCUGUAAAGAAGAGCUGAGAUUCUGUUACAUUACAGCUGGCCUUGAGGAUCCCUCUGUUGAGGGGGUGGCAUCCCAGGGACCUCUGCCCAGUGCUGGGCCUCCCUAGGCUGUACCCUGCCUUGUCUUUGUCCUGGCUGUGCCCACCUCCUUCCCGCAUGGCCCGCACAGCCUUGGCUUAUCUGAGUCCAUAGGCCCCUUGGCAGCAGCUGGGCAAGUCGCCCCAACAGGCCAGAGGAAACCUGCACCAGCCAGCAUCCCACGAAGAUGAUGGCCCAAAGCAAGCACAUGUUCUGGACACCACGCCCCCUCGCCUGUCAGGCAACUGUGCUCAGGAUGGGUGACAAGGGGUUUGCAGUCAGUUCAGGCUCUCCUGCUGGGCUCACCCAGACAAGGACUCAGCCAGGGCUGCUCCAUCUCUGGGUCUCCAGGGCCCAACUCAACACCAGUGCUCAGCAGGUGUUUGUUGAAUGGAUGAAUGAAUAACAAAGUCAUGCCCUGCCAUAUUCUCUAAGCUCCUUGCAGGGCUGACAUUUCAGAGAGGACUGCCUGCAAUGAUGUGUGUGUUACCUUCCUAAUAUGCUUUUUUAAAAAAGUUUUUUUUUAAAGCAGGUUAAAAACAAUAUAUAACCACAAAGGAAUAUUAUAUGGCUAUAAAAAGAAAUGAAGUCCUGACACAUGCAACAAUAUAGAUGAAUCUUGAAAACAUCAUGCUAAGUGAAAGAAGCCAGCGACAAAAGGCCACAUAUUGUAUGAUACAAUUUAUUAUUUUUUUUGUAUGAUUCAAUUUACAUAGAAUGUCCAGAAUUGGCAAAUCCAAAGAGACAGAAAGCAGAUUAGUUGGGGGUGGGAAAUGGGGCAUGAAUGCUACUAGAUACAACAUGUUAGGGUGUUGAAAAUGCUCUAAAAUUAGUGGUGAUGGUUGUGGAACUCUGAAUAUACUAAAAGCCAGUGAAUUGUACACUUUAAAUGGUGAAUUCUAGGCUAUGAGAAUUGCAUCUCAGUAAAUGUGUUAUUAAAAAGUAUAUAUGAAAACAUCUACAUCUUUGUCAAUUUCCACAUUUUCCUGCAAUGUGGUCCCUGCUUAGAGCUGGGCAGUGAGAUUUUGGAUGUAUAUGUGUUUUGGAUUUUCUGCAAUAAACUUACUACAUUUGUAA